CACAUGCAGUCGAACGGAUCCUUCGGGAUUAGUGGCAGACGGGUGAGUAACGCGUGGGAAGCUACCUUGUGGUAGGGAACAACAGUUGGAAACGACUGCUAAUACCCUAUGAGCCCUAUGGGGGAAAGAUUUAUCGCCAUGAGAUGUGCCCGCGUUAGAUUNGCUAGUUGGUAAGGUAAUGGCUUACCAAGGCGACGAUCUAUAGCUGGUCUGAGAGGAUGAUCAGCC
rnacentral:rRNA from 1 species